rnacentral:tRNA from 1 species
GCAGUGGUGGUUCAGUGGUAGAAUUUUCACCUUUCAAGUGGGAAAGCUGGAUUUGAUUACUGGCCAGUGCA